CCGCACUGGACCGUGUACAAGUCUCCUGGAACGGAGCGUCGCAGAGGGUGAGAAUCCCGUCUCUGACACGGAUCCACCGGUGCUUUUGUGAUGCGCUCUCAAAGAGUCGAGUUGUUUGGGAAUGCAGCUCCAAAUGGGUGGUAAAUUCCAUCUAAAGCUAAACAUUGGCGAGAGACCGAUAGCGAACAAGUACCGUGAGGGAAAGAUGAAAAGAACUUUGGAAAGAGAGUUAAACAGUACGUGAAAUUGUUGAAAGGGAAACGCUCAAAGUCAGUCACGUCGGCUGAAAAUCAACCUCGUCCUUUGGCGCUUGGUGUACUUUUCGGUCGAUGGGUCAGCAUCGAUUUUGACCGGUGGAUAAAGGUCGAGUGGAAUGUGGCAUCUUCGGAUGUGUUAUAGCCCUCGGUCGCAUGCAUUGGUUGGCAUCGAGGAACUCAGCAUGCCCACUCCAUGGGUCGGGCGGUUUCGUCACGCAUCGUGCUUAGGAUGCUGGCAUAAUGGCUUUGAUCGACCCGUCUUGAAACACGGACCAAGGAGUCCACCGUGCGUGCGAGUGUUUGGGUGGAAAACCCAUGCGCGCAAUGAAAGUGAAGGUCAGGAUCUCCGUCGUGGAGAGCACUGAUGCCCGGACCUGAACUUUUGUGACGGCUCURCGGUAGAGCACGCAUGUUGGGACCCGAAAGAUGGUGAACUAUGCCUGAAUAGGGUGAAGCCAGAGGAAACUCUUGGUGGAGGCUCCGUAACCGAUUCUUGACGUGGCAAAUCCGAUCRGUCAAAUUUUGGGUAUAGGGGGCGAAAAGACUAAUCCGAACCAUCUA
rnacentral:rRNA from 1 species